UACGGAAGGGGGCUAGCGUUGCUCGGAAUGACUGGGCGUAAAGGGCGCGUAGGCGGUUCGUACAGUCAGACGUGAAAUUCCCGGGCUCAACCUGGGGGCUGCGUUUGAUACGUGCGGGCUUGAGUUCGGAAGAGGGUCGUGGAAUUCCCAGUGUAGAGGUGAAAUUCGUAGAUAUUGGGAAGAACACCGGUGGCGAAGGCGGCGACCUGGUCCGAUACUGACGCUGAGGCGCGAAAGCGUGGGGAGCAAACAGG
rnacentral:rRNA from 1 species